rnacentral:rRNA from 1 species
UACGACGGGUGCAAGAGUUAAUCGGAAUUACUGGGCGUAAAGCGUGCGUAGGCGGCUUUUUAAGUCGGAUGUGAAAUCCCCGGGCUCAACCUGGGAAUGGCAUCCGAUACUGGGGAGCUGGAGUUUGGGAGAGGGUGGUGGAAUUCCCGGUGUAGCGGUGAAAUGCGUAGAGAUCGGGAGGAACAUCAGUGGCGAAGGCGGCCACCUGGCCUAAAACUGACGCUGAGGCACGAAAGAGUGGGGAGCAAACAGG